rnacentral:ncRNA from 1 species
ACAACAGCCUUGAGCGGGAAGAGUACAUGACUUGGCCUUUAGUCCAGCGAACCGGUGACCGGGUUUAUCCGGAGGUGUGAUGACCGGUCUAAAGAGGUUAUGGAAUGGCCCCGUGAGCUGCCCACCGAAAACUUUUGCCAGUAGGCUGGGCCGUGCGCCAGCGUUAUCCGGCUAGGGUAUCGGAUCCUUUAUCCCGUACCUGAAUUGAGGGAAACUUGUGUUUUCUAAAAAAGGGUGGUAUCGCGAACUGUUUCGCCCCUUAA